UACACACUGACAACUGCGGCAACUGCUCUGGCAGCUGACACCAAUAUUGAGUCAGUCAGCUCCAAGAAGCAUCAUGUGAAAUAUUGCACAAUCCUGAAGUCACACAAUGAGAGCUGACUAAUCAGAACUAAACAUUCAGGAUAAUUCACACAGCUACUAGGUUACAAACAACAACAACUACAAAAAACAUUUAUCUGAGAUUGUCAAUUCAAAGUCUAAGGGGGCAUGCUUUUGAAUUGGAAUUAUAUUUUUUAUCAUUUCUUAACAUGUAUGAAUAUAUGCAUUUAAAAAAGAGAAUUUUGGGCUUUCAUAAAUGAAUAAAAAAAAUAAAAAUCAAGAUCACGCCUAAUAAACAGAAAAAAACUAAUUUGCUUUAGAAUAUAAAUGUUGACCUGAUCUUCUGUUAUUAGAGUUACAUAAUAUCUAAAUAUUAUAAUAGUUAUUUCAAUAAAAAAAAAUAUUACAAAAUAUAAUUUAGGAGUAUAAAAGCAAAAAAUGACAGCUUUACACACGUUUUUAAGGUUUAUUUCAUAAAUAAAAGACAUCCUGAGAAAACAGCAUGGAACGGCCAAAUACAGCCUAUUCUUUCAAAGUCAGCAAACAAUAAACUAGUUAGAAUCACAUCACUACAGUGGACCACUUGUAGGGAUGAUGCAUAAGUGCGUAUAAGGUGACGUGCCGCCAACGUAUCAAAGUGGGAGGGAUAUCAUCCUACAAAUAUGUGCGAUCUUUCCCCCCCCAUCACUAACCAUGGGAAGUAAAUUUAAAAAUCGACCAGAAACCACUCCGACGACCAGACACAAGGCAAGAGAAAAAUCCAAAAACUCUCUGUCCGGAGAGUGAAAGGGUGAGGGAAGGCUCAGCAAAUGCAUGAGACAAGAAACGUCAAAAAAAAAAUUAAAAAAUAAAAGAAAGAAAAGAAAAGCCACCGUUAAAGAAGAUCUGUUGACAGCUCAACAUACUGGGAAGAACAGGAAUGAAUGCAAGAGACAGAAGACAAGCUGUAAAAGUGUGUUGGGACGCAUCCUGGAACGAUGUGAGACGCCAAGGGUGACUUUGAAAGAGGAAGAUGGGUAGCCCUCAGCACUUUUCCCUGAUCUCCAAGGAGGGCAGUAUGUGUGAAUGCACAGUUGCCUCUGCAUCGGCAUGUUGUCCUGAGGCAUUACUCUUGUUAAGGUUAUUAGAGAAGAUGUUUAGCACUAAUCAGUGGAGAGCCAAAGGGACCACAGCUAAAUGGCCUCAUCAUCACAGGGCCCUGGUGGUGAUAAAUCUAGCCCCAAGCAUUGAGAGGUCCAGCUGAAUGUGUAGGUGCAAAGCAGUGCAAUGUAAAUGAGUACUUAGAAAUUGAAUUUGGUCAUUUUUUUUCUGCUUUGUGGACAAAUUGCCAUUUUAUCAAAACAAUGAAGUACUCAAUCUUGAGUUUGCUUAAUUAAAUGGAUGUGAUUAUUUAAAUAAAUUACCUCUGUUAUUAUUGAGGAUUUUUCUGUUACUAAUCUUAUAUUUUAAGCUCUAUCCUUUUUCAAUGUAACAAAGGAUAAAAAAAAAAGAAACAAUGGAAACAUGAGGAAACGCGUCCGUCCUUGUUUUUCUUUGUUCACUGUUUUUAUAGAUCGGAUUAUUUCCUACUUUCUCCACUUAGUUUUUUCCAGUAAACCCAUUCUCUUCCUUCACCGGGUUAUCUAGCCUCGAGCAAACUAGAACGUAAUGUUAAGGCACUAACUACAGUGUGUCUGCACACAGACCCAGCAGAGAGAAAGAAACAAUCAUGUGUGAAAUUAGAUUUCUCCACAAACAGAGGGGAGUCAGAGCCAUAAAGUACACCAAGCUCUUCGGCUUUGAAGGAUCAGCCAAAAAUAAAUAAAUAAAAAAUUUUACAAAUACCUUCACUUGAUGAUUUUUGCAAUUAUUUUUCUGGCAUUUCUUUUGCUUCUCUUUACAGGUGAACUCAUUUACAGAUGCUUAGAUGUGAGCCCAAUUAUGUCAUAACAAUAAAAAAGAAGUCAAAUGUUUCAAACCAUUUUAAAUAGGAUUGUUUUUAAGUGUAAUUUGAGCACAGUACUUGCACCAAACUUUUUCAACAAGGUCUAUUGCAUGAGUGUUUAGACUUGUUCAACCUUUUCACAUUUUAUCAUUUCAUAUGUACAAACAUCUAUUUUGAUAGAAAAGAAUAAAGUAGCCCAUAAUUGUGAAGUGGAAGAAAAAUGAUAGAUUGUUUUCAAAUGUUUACAAAACUCUAUUCCAACCUAUUCUAUUUUGUGACUUAAUGCAGUCGGAUUUUCUCAGCUAAAAGACAUUUUACCAACUUGAAUAAUAAAGUGAACUCGUCUACGUUGUUUGAUAAAAACAGAUAUGAUUAAAACAGAAUGUUUAUAAUUGAUUUUAAAA